CUCCCAAGAGAGGACCAGCAUCCGUCUCUGGGCUCGUAGCUGAUGAAGUCAACCUGAUUCUGACGAGGCACGAAGCGAAUGCAGGUCUUGGAAGGGAAGGCCCGGAGGGCAUUCUCAAUGAUCUGCUUGUUAGAGGAACUGAAGCUACUGCUCACUGUGUAGGGCACUUCAACCAAUCCGUCGGUGCCUUUUGUCCAGAAGCACCCUGCACUGUAAAAUAACAUUCAGCUGGUUAGUCAAUUAUAUCUGAAAAUACAAUUAUUUUGACAUAAAAAAUAUAUUUGUUAUCUUUACUUCAAUAUAAUUAGUCCUUUACUCAUCUUCACUUGUUUAACCAACCUGAAAUUAAAAUAUGUACAUAUAUCAACAUAAGAUGCAUGUAAAAACAACUCCAAAGGGAACUGUGUUUAAUUUCCCCUCAAUUUACUAAUUUUAAGUUCUAGCAACAACUUGACACCUGUCUCUGUAUUUAGAGGAUUGUGGGUAAUUCCACAUUCUUUGACUUUAUACUACUUCUACACAAUGUUGUAUACAUAUGUUGAAGGCAGAAAAUUAUAUUUCUGUAUUUAGGUAACUUUCUGAAACAUUAAAAGUGAAGUAUAUUGUACAUAAAAAUACCUAAUCUUGGAAAUACUCAAAAAAGCUGAUGCAAAUAGUUGUAAAACUAGAACUGGUACAAUAUUGUUGUUAGUGUGUGUUGGUUGUACCUAAAGCAAACCAUGGCGUUUCUGGUUGUUGGCGCCACCAUGUCUCCCUCCAACAGAAACUGACUGGAGCCGUUAUUGGUGGUCAGAAUUCUCUCAGUGAUGUCUACAUCCUCAGGGUUGUCUGUUAGGAUCUCUGGUCCACUUCCGUCCUCCAUGAGAGGGUUGGCCUGAGAGAGGCCCAGCAGCAGCAGCAGCAGCAGGGUCAGAGAGGGGCUUUGCUCCAUCUUCAGUGUGUGGAGAGGAGAGACUCUGGAUGGCUCCUUGGAUCUGACAGUGGAGAGACUCUGGAUGGCUCCUUGGAUCUGACAGUGGAGAGACUCUGGAUGGCUCCUUGGAUCUGACAGUGGAGAGACUCUGGAUGGCUUCUUGUUCCUGGAGAUGCUUUGGAGCGGCUUGAUGUGUGAUUCUGUCUGGUCAGUCCUGGGCUUUUUAUACAGUCCUCUACAGGUGUGUCUGCUAGAGGAUUAUGGGUUGGGGUCCAUGUUGUUAGUCCUAAAUAAACCUCUGAAGGGAGGGUUCCACCACCACACCUACAGUUUCAACAUGGUUUUAAUCCAUACAGGUCCAUUUACACCUGGCCAUGCCUACUCAACAAACACGUCACACACUAAUGUAAUGACAGUUUAAUCUACUACAAUGAUGUGGUGAGGAACGUUUCAAUUUUUUAAUGUUUAUUUGUCACCUGCACAGGACACAGCAGGUGUAAAACAGUACAUUGAAAUAUUUGCAGCUCUUUAGUAAUAUAGAUUUUAAAAACACAGUAAUAAUCUAGAUAAUAAAACAGUAAUUUUAUUUAAAAAAAAAAAAAAUUCAACUGUUGUGCCUGCGGCUAUGGAACCCUGUCCUGUUCACCGGACGUGCUACCUGUCCCAGACCUGCUGUUUUCAACUCUCUAGAGACAGCAGGUGCGGUAGAGAUACUCUUAAUGAUCGGCUAUGAAAAGCCAACUGACAUUUACUCCUGAGGUGCUGACCUGUUGCACCCUCGACAACUACUGUGAUUAUUAUUUGACCCUGCUGGUCAUUUAUGAACAUUUUGAACAUCUUGGCCAUGUUCUGUUAUAAUCUCCACCCGGCACAGCCAGAAGAGGACUGGCCACCCCUCAUAGCCUGGUCCUCUCUAGGUUUCUUCCUAGGUUCUGGGACUUUCUAGGGAGUUUUUCCUUAGCCACCGUACUUUUACACCUGCAUUGCUUGCUGUUUGGGGUUUUAGGCUGGGUUUUUGUACAGCACUUUGAGAUAUUAGCUGAUGUACGAAGGGCUAUAGUAUAUAAAUACAUUUGAUUUGAUAAUAAUCUAGAUUAUAAACAUUGUAAUGAUAUAGAUAAUAAACACAGUAAUAAUCUAGAUAAUAAACAUUGUAAUGAUAUAGAUAAUAAAACACAGUAAUAAUCUAGAUAAUAAACAUUGUAAUGAUAUAGAUAAUAAACACAGUAAUAAUCUAGAUAAUAAACAUUGUAAUGAUAUAGAUAAUAAACACAGUAAUAAUCUAGAUAAUAAACAUUGUAAUGAUAUAGAUAAUAAAUACAGUAAUAAUCUAGAUAAUAUAACACAUUAAUAAUCUAGAUUAUAAUAUAACACAGUAAUAAUCUAGAUAAUAAACACAGUCAUAAUCUAGAUAAUAAACACAGUAAUGAUAUAGAUAAUAAACAUUGUAAUGAUAUAGAUAAUAAACAUUGUAAUGAUAUAGAUGUCACGUUCGUUGUAAUGAUUGGACCAAGGCGCAGCGUGCGUAGAGUUCCACAUCUUUUAAUUCAUAGACACUCAGCAGAACAAACAAGCACAAAGGAAACGUGAAGCUACUGGUGAAGCUACACAGGCAACUAUCCGUAGACAAGAUCCCACCAAACACAAAAUUAGGAAAUGGCUACCUAAAUAUCAUCCCCAAAAUCAGAGACAACAAUAAACAGCUGUCUCUGAUUGGGAACCAUAUCAGGCCAACAACACCCCUAGAUAACCCACCCUAGUCACUAUCACGCCCCAAACGACAGAGAAUAAACAGCUUACUAUGGUCAGGUCGUGACAAUAGAUAAUAAAAACACUGUAAUUAAAUAGAUAAUAAACUGUAAUAAUAUAGAUAAUAAACACUGUAAUAAUAUAGAUAAUAUAGAAUAAAAACAGGUUACGGUGUAAUGGCAGGUCUGUAGUUAGGGUGUAACGGCAGGUCUGUAGUUAGGGUGUAAUGGCAGGUCUGUAGUUAGGGUGUAAUGGCAGGUCUGUAGUUAGGGUGUAAUGGCAGGUCUGUAGUUAGGGUGUAACGGCAGGUCUGUACAGGUUAGGGUGUAACGGCAGGUCUGUAGUUAGGGUGUAAUGGCAGGUCUGUAGUUAGGGUGUAAUGGCAGGUCUGUAGUUAGGGUGUAAUGGCAGGUCUGUAGUUAGGGUGUAACGGCAGGUCUGUAGUUAGGGUGUAAUGGCAGGUCUGUAGUUAGGGUGUAAUGGCAGGUCUGUACAGGUUAGGGUGUAAUGGCAGGUCUGUACAGGUUAGGGUGUAAUGGCAGGUCUGUAGUUAGGGUGUAAUGGCAGGUCUGUAGUUAGGGUGUAAUGGCAGGUCUGUAGUUAGGGUGUAAUGGCAGGUCUGUAGUUAGGGUGUAAUGGCAGGUCUGUAGUUAGGGUGUAACGGCAGGUCUGUAGUUAGGGUGUAAUGGCAGGUCUGUAGUUAGGGUGUAAUGGCAGGUCUGUACAGGUUAGGGUGUAAUGGCAGGUCUGUAGUUAGGGUGUAAUGGCAGGUCUGUAGUUAGGGUGUAACGGCAGGUCUGUAGUUAGGGUGUAAUGGCAGGUCUGUACAGGUUAGGGUGUAAUGGCAGGUCUGUAGUUAGGGUGUAAUGGCAGGUCUGUAGUUAGGGUGUAAUGGCAGGUCUGUAGUUAGGGUGUAAUGGCAGGUCUGUAGUUAGGGUGUAAUGGCAGGUCUGUAGUUAGGGUGUAAUGGCAGGUCUGUAGUUAGGGUGUAAUGGCAGGUCUGUACAGGUUAGGGUGUAAUGGCAGGUCUGUAGUUAGGGUGUAAUGGCAGGUCUGUAGUUAGGGUGUAAUGGCAGGUCUGUAGUUAGGGUGUAAUGGCAGGUCUGUAGUUAGGGUGUAAUGGCAGGUCUGUAGUUAGGGUGUAAUGGCAGGUCUGUACAGGUUAGGGUGUAAUGGCAGGUCUGUAGUUAGGGUGUAAUGGCAGGUCUGUAGUUAGGGUGUAAUGGCAGGUCUGUAGUUAGGGUGUAAUGGCAGGUCUGUAGUUAGGGUGUAAUGGCAGGUCUGUAGUUAGGGUGUAACGGCAGGUCUGUAGUUAGGGUGUAACGGCAGGUCUGUAGUUAGGGUGUAAUGGCAGGUCUGUACAGGUUAGGGUGUAAUGGCAGGUCUGUACAGGUUAGGGUGUAAUUGCAGGUCUGUAGUUAGGGUGUAAUGGCAGGUCUGUAGUUAGGGUGCAAUGGCAGGUCUGUAGUUAGGGUGUAAUGGCAGGUCUGUACAGGUUAGGGUGUAAUGGCAGGUCUGUACAGGUUAGGGUGUAAUGGCAGGUCUGUAGUUAGGGUGUAAUGGCAGGUCUGUAGUUAGGGUGUAAUGGCAGGUCUGUAGUUAGGGUGUAAUGGCAGGUCUGUAGUUAGGGUGUAACGGCAGGUCUGUAGUUAGGGUGUAAUGGCAGGUCUGUAGUUAGGGUGUAAUGGCAGGUCUGUAGUUAGGGUGUAAUGGCAGGUCUGUAGUUAGGGUGUAAUGGCAGGUCUGUACAGGUUAGGGUGUAAUGGCAGGUCUGUAGUUAGGGUGUAAUGGCAGGUCUGUAGUAACGGUGUAACGGCAGGUCUGUAGUUAGGGUGUAAUGACAUGUCUGUAGUUAGGGUGUAAUGGCAGGUCUGUAGUUAGGGUGUAAUGGCAGGUCUGUAGUUAGGGUGUAAUGGCAGGUCUGUACAGGUUAGGGUGUAAUGGCAGGUCUGUACAGGUUAGGGUGUAAUGGCAGGUCUGUAGUUAGGGUGUAAUGGCAGGUCUGUAGUUAGGGUGUAAUGGCAGGUCUGUAGUUGGGGUGUAAUGGCAGGUCUGUAGUUAGGGUGUAACGGCAGGUCUGUAGUUAGGGUGUAACGGCAGGUCUGUAGUUAGGGUGUAACGGCAGGUCUGUACAGGUUAGGGUGUAAUGGCAGGUCUGUAGUUAGGGUGUAAUGGCAGGUCUGUAGUUAGGGUGUAAUGGCAGGUCUGUAGUUAGGGUGUAAUGGCAGGUCUGUAGUUAGGGUGUAAUGGCAGGUCUGUAGUUAGGGUGUAAUGGCAGGUCUGUACAGGUUAGGGUGUAAUGGCAGGUCUGUAGUUAGGGUGUAAUGGCAGGUCUGUAGUUAGGGUGUAAUGGCAGGUCUGUAGUUAGGGUCUAAUGGCAGGUCUGUAGUUAGGGUGUAAUGGCAGGUCUGUAGUUAGGGUGUAAUGGCAGGUCUGUAGUUAGGAUGUAAUGGCAGGUCUGUAUUUAGGGUGUAAUGGCAGGUCUGUAGUUGGGGUGUAAUGGCAGGUCUGUAGUUAGGGUGUAAUGGCAGGUCUGUAGUUAGGGUGUAAUGGCAGGUCUGUAGUUAGGGUGUAAUGGCAGGUCUGUAGUUAGGGUGUAACGGCAGGUCUGUAGUUAGGGUGUAACGGCAGGUCUGUAGUUAGGGUGUAAUGGCAGGUCUGUAGUUAGGGUGUAAUGGCAGGUCUGUAGUUAGGGUGUAACGGCAGGUCUGUAGUUAGGGUGUAACGGCAGGUCUGUAGUUAGGGUGUAACGGCAGGUCUGUAGUUAGGGUGUAACGGCAGGUCUGUAGUUAGGGUGUAACGGCAGGUCUGUAGUUAGGGUGUAAUGGCAGGUCUGUACAGGUUAGGGUGUAAUGGCAGGUCUGUAGUUAGGGUGUAAUGGCAGGUCUGUAGUUAGGGUGUAAUGGCAGGUCUGUAGUUAGGGUGUAAUGGCAGGUCUGUAGUUAGGGUGUAAUGGCAGGUCUGUAGUUAGGGUGUAAUGGCAGGUCUGUAGUUAGGGCGUAAUGGCAGGUCUGUAGUUAGGGUGUAAUGGCAGCUCUGUACAGGUUAGGGUGUAACGGCAGGUCUGUAGUUAGGAUGUAAUGGCAGCUCUGUACAGGUUAGGGUGUAAUGGCAGGUCUGUAGUUAGGGUGUAAUGGCAGCUCUGUACAGGUUAGGGUGUAAUGGCAGGUCUGUAGUUAGGAUGUAAUGGCAGCUCUGUACAGGUUAGGGUGUAACGGCAGGUCUGUAGUUAGGGUGUAGUGGCAGUUCUGUAGUUAGGGUGUAAUGGCAGGUCUGUAGUUAGGGUGUAAUGGCAGGUCUGUAGUUAGGGUGUAAUGGCAGGUCUGUAGUUAGGGUGUAAUGGCAGCUCUGUACAGGUUAGGGUGUAAUGGCAGCUCUGUACAGGUUAGGGUGUAAUGGCAGGUCUGUAGUUAGGAUGUAAUGGCAGCUCUGUACAGGUUAGGGUGUAAUGGCAGGUCUGUAGUUAGGGUGUAAUGGCAGGUCUGUAGUUAGGGUGUAAUGGCAGGUCUGUACAGGUUAGGGUGUAAUGGCAGGUCUGUAGUUAGGGUGUAACGGCAGGUCUGUAGUUAGGGUGUAAUGGCAGGUCUGUACAGGUUAGGGUGUAAUGGCAGGUCUGUAGUUAGGGUGUAAUGGCAGGUCUGUAGUUAGGGUGUAAUGGCAGGUCUGUAGUUAGGGUGUAAUGGCAGGUCUGUAAAUCCUCAGUGAUGUGGACACAGAGGAACAGGAAGCUCUUGACCCCGUCCACUGGGAGAUGUGUACCUGCCCCUGUUUCCUGUCGUCCACCAUCAGCUCCUUGUUGAGGGAGAGAGGUUGUUGUCCUGGCAACACACUGCCAGGGUUCUGACCUGCUUCCUAUAGGCUGUCUGGUCACCGUCAGUGAUCAGGCCUCACCAUCGUCGUAUCAUCAGCGAACGUGAUGGUGGAGUCAUGCCCGGCCACUCAGUUUUGGGUCAACAGGUAGUACAGGACUGAGCAUACAGGCCACUGGGCAAAUAUUGUCAGGUUGCCAUUUGCUGUUUGGCAAAUACUUUAAGACAGGUAGACUCAUAAGUAAACAAGUUGUUCAGACAAACUCAACAUUUUAAUAUGUGUCUGUAAAUAUUAAUCAAAUGUAUUGGAAGAAUUAUGUUUGUUAUAGGUUGUGGUAGUUGUGCCUGUAUAGUCUAGGCCAGCUUUAGUGGAAAAUGUUAGAUGUCUCUCUCUCUCUCUCUCUCUCUCUCUCUCUCUGUCUGUCUGUCUGUCUGUCUGUCUGUCUGUCUGUCUGUCUGUCUGUCUGUCUGUCUGUCUGUCUGUCUGUCUCUCUCUCUCUCUCUCUCUCUCUCUCUCUCUCUCUCUCUCUCUCUGUCUGUCUGUCUGUCUGUCUGUCUGUCUGUCUGUCUGUCUGUCUGUCUGUCUGUCUGUCUCUCUCUCUCUUUCUCUCUAAAUACUUCCAUCCAUUUCUCCGCCUGCCUCCUGGGGGAGUAGAGGUGUGAGAAUAAACAAUGAAGGUGACAGAGGUGUCUCUGCUGUCACGACAACAUAGGAUUAUGAUUUAUUAAUCUACACUACUCUGUCUACUCUGCUCAAAUUCCACACACACACACACACACACACACACACACACACACACACACACACACACACACACACACACACACACACACACACACACACACACACACACACACACACACACACACACACACACACACACACACACACACACACACACAUCAGCGUAGGGUUAAGCUACGCUGGUCUUUCUUCCCCAGGGAGACAUGGUCAUGUAACAUAACAAUGGAGAGAUGUUGUGUUCAGCCUGAAACAGUCCUAACUGGAGAAAAUGGCACUAUGUCAUAUUUAGACAUGCAGCUGAUGGGGAGAGGAGAGGAGGAGAGA